rnacentral:rRNA from 1 species
GACGAACGCUGGCGGCGUGCUUAACACAUGCAAGUCGAACGGUGAAGCGCCUUCCUUUUUGGCGGGUGGGGAUGAGUGGCGAACGGGUGAGUAACACGUGAGUAACCUGCCCCCUCCUUCUGGAUAACCGCAGGAAAGUGUGGCUAAUACGGGAUAUUCUGUGUCUGUCGCAUGAUGGGUCUGGGAAAGAUAUUGUUUCGGUGGGGGAUGGGCUCGCGGCCUAUCAGCUUGUUGGUGGGGUGAUGGCCUACCAAGGCGGUGACGGGUAGCCGGCCUGAGAGGGUGGGCGGUCACACUGGGACUGAGAGACGGCGCAGCCUCCUGCGGGAGGCAGCAGUGGGGAAUAUUGCACGAUGGGCGCAAGCCUGAUGCAGCGACGCCGCGGGGGGGAUGGAGGCCUUCGUGUUGUGAACCUCUGUCGCCAGUGAAGCAGGCCUGCCUCGUUUGUGGGUGUGUUGACGGUAGCUGGAUAAGAAGCGCCGGCUAACUACGUG